UUCCAUCAUUUGGAUUAUGUUGCUACUAUCUCACAAUAGAAUUGGUGUCGUUAUAUGAUCUGAUUGAGGAACUUGUUUCUACACAUGCGCUGUGGAUUGUAGGCGGCAACCCACGGUUUUCGAGUCCUAUCAUCUUCUUGAUUUUGUUGUAUUGUGAUCGGGUUCGGCCUGCGAUUCGUAUCUUGCCUCGGGCUGUCCCAGCAUUUCGAGGGCUGACAUCGCAGAUGCUUCGUUGGCGCAAAGUCUUGGAGAUUCGGGGGGACAUCACAGAUGCUUCCUUGUGUUGUGUCGUCCGAUGUAGUGCCCGAGGGUAGUAGAUUGUCUGCUGACUGGGGUGUACAUUUGGGAGGUACUCAUGGUGAUUCUGUUGCCCCGGUUUCUCCUGUUCCUCCCCAUAAGGUCUAGUUUCAUAUUUUUUGUGCA